rnacentral:lncRNA from 1 species
AUUAUACAAAUAGGCAGUAUACACAGUGAGCGCCCACUAAGCGCUGGGCUGGGGGCCUCCAACCCGGAACAGAAGCCGGCCACAACCCUCGCUCCCUGUCGUCGCGGCCGUUAUAGGCCGAAAGCAAAAUCCAAUCCCGGGCCAUUGUGGGCGGAUUGCCAGGACCUGGAUCGCAACACUUGGGAAGACCCCCGCCCCGCCCAGCGAUCUCCGUGCCCUGAGUCCCAGUGACGGCCCCCUGGACAGCGGAGCCUGCUGCAGCGACGCGACGCGCUGGUACAGAUCUCAAAGCAAGGCUUGUUGGACAAAUAAAUGAAGAUGAGCCCAAGAGCCCAGGAGAGGGACCGGGAACAGCAGGGCCUCCGUGACUCACACAAGCUUCAUCCCUGAACCAAGGACGCAGCCUGCCAACAAUGGCCCCAAGCCACACCCCGCCACAGGGGGAACUGAUGCUGCGGUGAGAAGUGACAGCUUUCUGUUGACUCUUUUUUUUUUCAAGCAGAAUAUGAAUUGAGACAUACUUUCAUUUUCAUAAUCAGAACCUAACACUUAGUAACCAAUGUUGGUGGAAGCAAAUGAGAUCACAGUUUGUCUGUUCCAAACUCAUCUCUGGGAAAAGGAGGAGGAAAAAUUAUUGGCACUAUGUUCAGAAUCAUAGCUGAAGAUGCAGAAAUUGUUCAUCCCAAUUUUGCCUUUCUGAAGAAAGCCACCACUAAGAAAACGAAAAGAGAAGCAGCAGACCAGGAGAAAAUAUUUGCAAAACCAAAUCUGAUAACGGACUUGUAUCCAGUAUUUGCAAAGAACUUCUAAACUUAAUAACAACAACGACGACAAAGGAGCAAAAUCCCUGGUGGUCUAGCAGUGAGGAUUAAAAAAGAAAAGAAGCAAAAUAUAUGAACAGCUGUUUCUCCAAAGGAGAUAUACCAAUAGCUAAUAAAAUAUGCACAGAUGCUCCACAA